CAGACUUUUUCCUCUUUGCUGUCAGUAGGUGCUUCCUAAACCCUUUGAACCAUUUCUAACUCCACAACCUCAUAGUGGCUUUAGGGCUGGAUUACUCAACUGAUGUGGAGAUAAAGAAUGUUUACUGGCUCCCAGAGGGCAGCACAUGGAGGGUGGAGUGAGGUGGUGAAACAGUGGUCCUGCUGUGUUGACCAUGGAACACUGACCUCUGAUGUUUCUAGAAUUCACCCUGGCUGGUGGAAGACUGGUGGAGCCAGGGGGAAAGUAGCUACCCAUCAGCUCUCCCUUGGGGUGAUACUACCAAAAAGAGGGGUGCUUGAGGCACAUUUAGCUCUUCUUAAAGCUUUCCAUCAUUGGUCUUUCUAUGAAGAAAAACAUUCUGCCUGAGGAUAGAGCAGCUAUGUGAAGGAGAAUUUAUGAAGUACUUAUGGAUUCAGUAGAGUGGACCCCAAGGAUUCUGGGAGAUUCGGCAAACUCUCCACAUCUUGGUUGUUCUGCACCUGUCUUGGCUUCAGAGGAUGCCAGCAAUGGGAAAAGCCAGGCACAGUAUCUCUUGAGACAAAAUUCAGUAAUAAUUGGGUAAUCUGUGUCAUCACACAAAGGAUUUUUGACCUUGCAAUAAAGAUGAGAUAUAACACUAGGAUCAUCAUUUCCCAGCUUUGAAAUCACAUUAGUCUAAUUUUUUUAAUUACCUUGGAUUAAUUCUGGCUACUCUAGAAUUCUGACCUUAGAGAUCAGGAGGAGAUAUUAAGCGAUUAUAUUCUUAAAAAAUUCCAAACAAUGAAAUAUUGCAUGCAAAUGCUUUUAAAAACUAAAACGUGUUUUAGACUGUUUCAUUUACUUGCUGAUAUUCAAAUAAACUUUGAAAGAAUAAUAUUCCAAUGAAAAUGAAAAGUUCAAUGGUAAGAAAAGUAUUAAAAAAUUUCAUACAUAACAGUUUCUCAUUUUGUAUUUAAUAAUUAUAUGGAGAAAUAUGUGGAUUAACAAAAAUAGAAAAUGAGAGUUUUGGAGUAAAAUGCCCAUUUUGUCACAACAAUGGAAAACUUGCUGACCUAUUUCCUUUCCUCGGAAUAGCUCCACUUUAACAUACAGACGUCAUUUUGGUAGAUCAGCUUUACAUGAAUAAAAUAAAAUUAAUUUUGGUAAAGAAAGAACAAAGGAAAUAUAUAUCUCAUGCAACUAUAAAGUGAAUCCAAGGCAUCCAACUGUCACAAAUGACUUUGACUUUAAAGUACUUUAAAAAUCUUUUUAAAAGUGAAACCCUCCCAAUUAAGAAAAAAAGGAUAAUCAAGAAUAAUCAUUAUGAAACAUUUUUUUAAAGUUUUGUUCUUAGAACAAAACUUUCAUAACAUUUUUAUAUGAGAAAUCUCAUGCUUUUUUUUUUUUUCUUCUCGUUUUCAACCACUGAGGCCCAGAACCAGAGACUCACAUGGAACUAUUUGCAGCCUGAGGUGUUUCUUACUGGGGAUGAACUAUGACAGAUCAUCACUCAUGUGCCAGUAGACCCGCCCUUUGUUUUCCCUGAAUGUGACAUUAUUUUUUUCUUUCUUUCUAAUUCUGGGGACUGAAUCUAGGACUCUGCUCUUAUGAAAGGGAUAAGCCUAUUAGGACAAAGCCUACAACAGGAUCUGGAUCUCUUUUUAUGUUCUUCUGUCUUGUGAGGGCACAGUAUUAGUACCCUGUAGAGGGCCCAUGUUGGAACCAGAGGACAGCUCCCACCAGAUGCUGGUGCUAUUAGACUUGCUUGCCUCUAGAAAUAUGAGGAAUAAAGUUCUGUUGUUUAUAAAUAACCUAGUCUCUAGUACUUUGGUAUAGCAGCACAAACAAAUUAAAGGUAAGAUUUAUGCCAAGGUUAUCUUGGAUUCAUUUCUACAAAUAUUGGUUUUUAUUACAAAGGUUUGCUUUAUUAAGUAACCUCUUAUUAUUUUUAUGAAAAGUUAAGAAUGUAACAAGAAUUAAAUCAUUUUAGAGAGAUGAUGGAAAUCUACUCUUAACAUGCAAGAACCUUCAGUACUGGAUAUUGAACCCAGGGCCUUGUAUAUGAUGUGUAAGUGCUCUUCCCCUGAGUCAUAUUCCUAACCAUGUUCUUAAAAACAAAAUGGGAUUUUUUUCCUUGACAGCUUUUGCGCCAAACCAUUAUCCUGCUCAAUUUCACAUAAAAUGAAAACUCACACACUAAUAAUGAUGAAAUGUGUCUGUUACUAUGAAAUGGCACUUUAUAGUUACACGUAAAUAAAAACAGCCUGACUCUGCAUCCAUUUUAAGGAUAAGCAUGGAUCUGAACUUCUGAGAACCUCCUGUUUCUUCAGAAUUCUCUCAGAACUGUGAUCCUAGACAAGGGGCCCACUAAUUCUUUUAUUGAAACAGUGUAUCUAGCAUGACAUGGAGGAGUAAAAACUGGAGGAUUUAUCUUACGAGAAGAUUAUGUCCCUUCUGCCCCCUACUGGCUAGACUGGCACAUAGACACAACCACAAACUGAUACUAUCAAUUUAAUCCCACCUAUUGUUUGCAGCACAAAUGGGAUCAUCUUCAUAUCUUCAUUGUUUCUAAUGACUAAGCACUGCUUGUGGCAAUAUUCACCAUGUCCACACACCCAAACAUGCAUUAGGUCAAGGGCAAGGAAGAGUUACUAGGAAUUAAUGCUAUUUUUAGGUUAUAAGAAGAGCUCAAGGCUCAGUGAGCUUUUUUCUACAUUAUAAAAAAGAUAAGAUGAACGUUUUGGUUGCAAAGUUAGAUAAAAAUCAUUUGUCUAGAGUAAGUCCAUAUUGUAAAAGUCCUUACCACAAUUAAGUACUAAGAGAACAAAUAACUCCUUUGAUAUACUAAGAAUUAAUGUAUCAAAAAUUUAGCUGAUGCUUAUUCUAGGCAGCAUGGGGUCAUCCCAUUUAAUGCCUCUAGUGUUUGAUAACCUUCAUCCCCUUUCCUUAAGAGUAUUUGAACAAUGCAUUAUGUAUUAACCUAUCAAUCUAAUGACAGUCUAUUAAACUUUGAUGCCUUGAGUAAAAAGAAAGCAUCUUUUAAAUUUGAUAGCCCAAAGCCCAACAUCAUUUCUGACACAAAAUAUCCAUGUCAGGUUAAACACAACUGCAAAUUCCUUUUCAUUAUUUCUGUCUUGAGGCAGUUAUAAUUUCCUUCUUCAUGAACCUCAGCCAGCCCAUGAUUAUUGUGACUUUGAAGCGUAUGCUGGAAAUGACAUUGUACCAGAUUUUGAGCCUCACUUUUGCCUUUUCUCUCGGAGCAUUCCGGAGGAAGUCCUUUGACUUAGCAGGAAAAAGCCAGUGCAGUUGGUGUGAAAACCCAAAACACAUGGCAUGAGUGUGAACUCAUGACAGACCUGUAGGCUUGACCAGCUGUCCACUGAACAAGUGAUCUGAGUAGCAACAGUGCUGCCAUACUGAGUAGAUGAAUUUCCCCUGUCUGGAUUCCUGACCCACAAAAUUGUUGGGCUAUAAAAUAGAUGUGGUUUUAAGCCAUCGAAUAUUUGUUCUAUGACAAAGGAGACAAGAACAAUAAUCAAUAAGUAUUUCUCAUGCUUAACUGAGCAAAAUAUCUUGACGUUUGAGCAUUUUCAUCCCUGUUAUCUAGAAUACAUGUAAUAUAAUAUAUAUACUAUAUAAUAUACAUUUUCCUUUUCAGUUUUAGCUCCACAUAAUUAUAUUAGUACAAGAAAGAGG